rnacentral:rRNA from 1 species
UGACAGCAGCAGCGGUAAUACGGAGGGUGCAAGCGUUGUUCGGAAUUCUUGGGCGUAAAGAGCAUGUAGGCGGACUGUUAAGUCUGGCGUGAAAGCCCGGGGCUCAACCCCGGAAGUGCGUUGGAUACUGGCAGUCUUGAGUAUGGGAGAGGAAAGUGGAAUUCCGAGUGUAGGAGUGAAAUCCGUAGAUAUUCGGAGGAACACCAGUGGCGAAGGCGGAUUUCUGGACCAAUACUGACGCUGAGAUGCGCAAGCGUUGGGCGCGAACAGGAUUAGAUA